GUGGGUAUAGCUCAGUGGUAGAGCAUGUGCUUAGCAUACACAAGGUCCUGGGUUCAAUCUCCAGCACCACCA
rnacentral:tRNA from 1 species